rnacentral:rRNA from 1 species
UGCAGCCGAGCGGUAGAAUCUUUUCGGAGAUUUGAGAGCGGCGUACGGGUGAGGAACACGUGUGCAACCUGCCUUUAUCUGGGAGAUAGCCUUUCGAAAGGAAGAUUAAUAUCCCAUAAUAUAUUGAGUGGCAUCACUUAAUAUUGAAAGCUCCGGCGGAUAGAGAUGGGCACGCGCAAGAUUAGAUAGUUGGUGAGGUAACGGCUCACCAAGUCUACGAUCUUUAGGGGGCCUGAGAGGGUGAUCCCCCACACUGGUACUGAGACACGGACCAGACUCCUACGGGAGGCAGCAGUGAGGAAUAUUGGACAAUGGGUGCAAGCCUGAUCCAGCCAUCCCGCGUGAAGGAUUAAGGUCCUAUGGAUUGUAAACUUCUUUUAUACAGGGAUAAACCUCUCCUCGUGAGGAGAGCUGAAGGUACUGUAUGAAUAAGCACCGGCUAACUCCGUGCCAGCAGCCGCGGUAAUACGGAGGGUGCAAGCGUUAUCCGGAUUUAUUGGGUUUAAAGGGUCCGUAGGCGGGUUCGUAAGUCAGUGGUGAAAUCCUACAGCUUAACUGUAGAACUGCCAUUGAUACUGCGAGUCUUGAGUGUAGUUGAGGUAGCUGGAAUGAGUAGUGUAGCGGUGAAAUGCAUAGAUAUUACUCAGAACACCAAUUGCGAAGGCAGGUUACCAAGUUACAACUGACGCUGAUGGACGAAAGCGUG